rnacentral:tRNA from 1 species
AUUUCAGUAGUUUAUACAAAAUGUAUCUCUGAAAAAGAUAAGAAAAAUAUUUUUCUGAAAUG